rnacentral:ncRNA from 1 species
GAAGAUAGAGGCGCGGUCAGCCAUCACUAACUUUUGAAUGUAAAGUCCGGCAGGGCAAGGUCAAGGGUGAAAGGGGCUUCCGCCGAAGAGGCUUUCCGGCGGGGAAGCGCUCUGGUAAAACGGAAUAAUAUCCGUUUUACUGUCGCUUUUGCGGAGAGCUAUCGA